rnacentral:lncRNA from 1 species
AUCUGCAAGAUUGACUGGAGUGCCACCUGAGGAUGAGGGCAUGAGCGCCCGUCCUCCUACAUUGCCUAGGGCAAUGUCAAGCAGGUCCAACAGGGACAGAACAGUAAGAGACCCUAGAAGGUCUUUGGAUCUGGGUAGAAGCAGAUCAGUCAGAGGAACAGUUCAGGGAGGAGCGUCAGAGGACAUGGGGGAUGAUAUGGAUGUAGAGCAGAGAAGGGAUGGUAGUUUGGGAGUUAGUAUGU